rnacentral:rRNA from 1 species
UGGCUCCUACGGGGGGCAGCAGUGGGGGAUAUUGCACAAUGGGGGAAACCCUGAUGCAGCGACGCCGCGUGGGUGAAGAAGUAUUUCGGUAUGUAAAGCCCUAUCAGCAGGGAAGAAAGAAGACGGUACCUGACUAAGAAGCCCCGGCUAACUACGUGCCAGCAGCCGCGGUAAUACGUAGGGGGCGAGCGUUAUCCGGAUUCACUGGGUGUAAAGGGAGCGUAGACGGCCGUGCAAGCCAGGAGUGAAAGCCCGGGGCCCAACCCCGGGGCUGCUCUUGGAACUGAGCGGCUAGAGGGCGGGAG